UCCGAUUGAUCCCGUCGGACCCCACUGCUAUCGAGAUGGGACUAAGGUAUGCUAGUCGAACGACCAGAACUAUGUCUGGAAGUGGCACACUGCUCAGUAACACGUAGCUAACCUACCCUUAGGACGUGGAUACCCCCGAGAAAUUGGGGUUAAUCCGCGAUAGAUGUAAUGUCCUGGAAUGGUAUUACGUCUAAAGGUAUUUCAUACAUGUUUGAAGUAUGCCUAAGGAUGGGGCUGCGGCCGAUCAGGCUGUUGGUGAGGUAAUGGCUCACCAAACCUUUGACCGGUACGGGCCAUGAGAGUGGUAGCCCGGAGAUGGACACUGAGACAAGGGUCCAGGCCCUAAGGGGCGCAGCAACCGCGAAACCUCCACAAUGCACUCACGCGCGAUGGGGCUAUCUCGAGUGCCACCUGAUGAAGGUGGCUUUUCCUUGGUCUUCAAAGCCUUGGGAAUAAGAGGGGGGCAAGACUGGUGUCAGCCGCCGCGGUAACACCAGCCCCUCGAGUGGUGGGGAUGAUUAUUUGGCCUAAAGCGUCCGUAGCCGGCCGAGCAAGUCUUCCGUUAAAUCCAGCGUCUCAAGCGUUGGACCGCGGGAGAUACUACACGGCUAGAGAGUGGGAGAGGUCAGCGGUAUUCUGGGGGUAGGGGCGAAAUCCUUUGAUCCCCGGAGGACCACCAGUGGCGAAGGCUGCUGACUAGAACACGUCUGACGGUCAGGGACGAAAGCUGGGGUAGCGAACCGGAUUAGAUACCCGGGUAGUCCCAGCCGUAAACGAUGCAUGCUAGGUGUUGGGUUGGCCACGAGCCACCCCAGUGCCGCAGGGAAGCCGUUAAGCCCGCCUGGGAAGUACGAUCGCAAGAUUGAAACUUAAAGGAAUUGGCGGGGGAGCACCACCAGGCGUGAAGCCUGCGGUUUAAUUGGAGUCAACGCCGGGAACCUUACCGGGAGCGACAGCAGAAUGAAGGCCAGAUUGAAGAUCUUGCCAGACGAGCUGAGAGGAGGUGCAUGGCCGUCGCCAGUUCGUGCCGUGAGGUGUUCUCUUAAGUGAGAUAACGAACGAGACCCGUGCCACAUGUUGCCACCAGUAUCUAAAGGAUAGCUGAGCACUCUUGUGGGACCGCAGCCGAUAAGGCUGAGGAAGGUACGGGCAACGGCAGGUCAGUAUGCCCCGAUCUCCCGGGCCACACGCGGGCUGCAAUGGUACAGACAGAGGGCUGCCACCCCGAAAGGGGGAGCCAAUCCCUAAACUGUACCUCAGUUGGGAUCGAGGGUUGCAACCCCCCCUCGUGAACAUGGAAUGCCUAGUAACCGCCAGUCAUCAUCUGGCGGUGAAUACGUCCCUGCUCCUUGCACACACUGCCCGUC
rnacentral:rRNA from 1 species